rnacentral:rRNA from 1 species
GGGUUGUGAGGUUAAGCGACUAAGCGUACACGGUGGAUGCCCUGGCAGUCAGAGGCGAUGAAGGACGUGCUAAUCUGCGAAAAGCGUCGGUAAGGUGAUAUGAACCGUUAUAGCCGGCGAUGUCCGAAUGGGGAAACCCAGUGCAAUUCGUUGCACUAUCGUUUGAUGAAUACAUAGUCAAACGAGGCGAACCGGGGGAACUGAAACAUCUAAGUACCCCGAGGAAAAGAAAUCAACCGAGAUUCCCCCAGUAGCGGCGAGCGAACGGGGAGCAGCCCGGAGUCUGAAUCAGCUUGUGUGUUAGUGGAAGCGUCUGGAAAGUCGCAGGGUACAGGGUGAUACUCCCGUACACUAAAACGCACAGGCUGUGAACUCGAAGAGUAGGGCGGGACACGUGGUAUCCUGUCUGAAUAUGGGGGGACCAUCCUCCAAGGCUAAAUACUCCUGACUGACCGAUAGUGAACCAGUACCGUGAGGGAAAGGCGAAAAGAACCCCGGCGAGGGGAGUGAAAAAGAACCUGAAACCGUGUACGUACAAGCAGUAGGAGCCUCUUUAUGGGGUGACUGCGUACCUUUUGUAUAAUGGGUCAGCGACUUAUAUUCUGUAGCAAGGUUAACCGUAUAGGGGAGCCGCAGGGAAACCGAGUCUUAACUGGGCGUUAAGUUGCAGGGUAUAGACCCGAAACCCGGUGAUCUAGCCAUGGGCAGGUUGAAGGUUGGGUAACACUAACUGGAGGACCGAACCGACUAAUGUUGAAAAAUUAGCGGAUGACUUGUGGCUGGGGGUGAAAGGCCAAUCAAACCGGGAGAUAGCUGGUUCUCCCCGAAAGCUAUUUAGGUAGCGCCUCGUGAAUUCAUCUUCGGGGGUAGAGCACUGUUUCGGCUAGGGGGUCAUCCCGACUUACCAACCCGAUGCAAACUACGAAUACCGAAGAAUGUUAUCACGGGAGACACACGGCGGGUGCUAACGUCCGUCGUGAAGAGGGAAACAACCCAGACCGCCAGCUAAGGUCCCAAAGUCAUGGUUAAGUGGGAAACGAUGUGGGAAGGCCCAGACAGCCAGGAUGUUGGCUUAGAAGCAGCCAUCAUUUAAAGAAAGCGUAAUAGCUCACUGGUCGAGUCGGCCUGCGCGGAAGAUGUAACGGGGCUAAACCAUGCACCGAAGCUGCGGCAGCGACACUAUGUGUUGUUGGGUAGGGGAGCGUUCUGUAAGCCGUCGAAGGUGGCCUGUGAGGGUUGCUGGAGGUAUCAGAAGUGCGAAUGCUGACAUAAGUAACGAUAAUGCGGGUGAAAAACCCGCACGCCGGAAGACCAAGGGUUCCUGUCCAACGUUAAUCGGGGCAGGGUGAGUCGACCCCUAAGGCGAGGCCGAAAGGCGUAGUCGAUGGGAAACAGGUUAAUAUUCCUGUACUCGGUGUUACUGCGAAGGGGGGACGGAGAAGGCUAUGUUGGCCGGGCGACGGUUGUCCCGGUUUAAGCAUGUAGGCGGAUGUUCCAGGUAAAUCCGGAACGUUACUAACGCUGAGGUGUGAUGACGAGGCACUACGGUGCUGAAGUGACAAAUGCCCUGCUUCCAGGAAAAGCCUCUAAGCAUCAGGUAACAUCAAAUCGUACCCCAAACCGACACAGGUGGUCAGGUAGAGAAUACCAAGGCGCUUGAGAGAACUCGGGUGAAGGAACUAGGCAAAAUGGUGCCGUAACUUCGGGAGAAGGCACGCUGAUAGGUAGGUGAAGUGGUUUACCCAUGGAGCUGAAAUCAGUCGAAGAUACCAGCUGGCUGCAACUGUUUAUUAAAAACACAGCACUGUGCAAACACGAAAGUGGACGUAUACGGUGUGACGCCUGCCCGGUGCCGGAAGGUUAAUUGAUGGGGUUAUCCGUAAGGAGAAGCUCUUGAUCGAAGCCCCGGUAAACGGCGGCCGUAACUAUAACGGUCCUAAGGUAGCGAAAUUCCUUGUCGGGUAAGUUCCGACCUGCACGAAUGGCGUAAUGAUGGCCAGGCUGUCUCCACCCGAGACUCAGUGAAAUUGAACUCGCUGUGAAGAUGCAGUGUACCCGCGGCAAGACGGAAAGACCCCGUGAACCUUUACUAUAGCUUGACACUGAACACUGGUCCUUGAUGUGUAGGAUAGGUGGGAGGCUUUGAAGUGUGGACGCCAGUCUGCAUGGAGCCAUCCUUGAAAUACCACCCUUUAAUGGCUGGUGUUCUAACGUGGGCCCGUUAUCCGGGUUGCGGACAGUGUCUGGUGGGUAGUUUGACUGGGGCGGUCUCCUCCUAAAGAGUAACGGAGGAGCACGAAGGUCAGCUAAUCCUGGUCGGACAUCAGGAGGUUAGUGCAAUGGCAUAAGCUGGCUUGACUGCGAGCGUGACGGCGCGAGCAGGUGCGAAAGCAGGUCAUAGUGAUCCGGUGGUUCUGAAUGGAAGGGCCAUCGCUCAACGGAUAAAAGGUACUCCGGGGAUAACAGGCUGAUACCGCCCAAGAGUUCAUAUCGACGGCGGUGUUUGGCACCUCGAUGUCGGCUCAUCACAUCCUGGGGCUGAAGUAGGUCCCAAGGGUAUGGCUGUUCGCCAUUUAAAGUGGUACGCGAGCUGGGUUUAGAACGUCGUGAGACAGUUCGGUCCCUAUCUGCCGUGGGCGCUGGAGAAUUGAGGGGGGCUGCUCCUAGUACGAGAGGACCGGAGUGGACGCAUCACUGGUGUUCGGGUUGUCAUGCCAAUGGCAUUGCCCGGUAGCUAAAUGCGGAAGAGAUAAGUGCUGAAAGCAUCUAAGCACGAAACUUGCCCCGAGAUGAGUUCUCCCUGACUCCUUGAGAGUCCUGAAGGAACGUUGAAGACGACGACGUUGAUAGGCCGGGUGUGUAAGCGCAGCGAUGCGUUGAGCUAACCGGUACUAAUGAACCGUGAGGCUUAACCUUACAACGCCGAAG